rnacentral:rRNA from 1 species
GACGAACGCUGGCGGCGUGCUUAACACAUGCAAGUCGAACGGAAAGGCCCUGCUUUUGUGGGGUGCUCGAGUGGCGAACGGGUGAGUAACCCGUGAGUAACCUGCCCUUGACUUUGGGAUAACUUCAGGAAACUGGGGCUAAUACCGGAUAGGAGCUCCUGCUGCAUGGUGGGGGUUGGAAAGUUUCGGCGGUUGGGGAUGGACUCUCGGCUUAUCAGCUUGUUGGUGGGGUAGUGGCUUACCAAGGCUUUGACGGGUAGCCGGCCUGAGAGGGUGACCGGCCACAUUGGGACUGAGAUACGGCCCAGACUCAUACGGAAGGCAGCAGUGGGGAAUAUUGCACAAUGGGCGGAAGCAUGAUGCAGCAACGCCGCGUGCGGGAUGACGGCAUUCGGGUUGUAAACCGCUUUCGCCUGUGACGAAGCGUGAGUGACGGUAAUGGGUAAAGAAGCACCGGCUAACUACGUG